rnacentral:lncRNA from 1 species
CCUGGACCAUUUGUCAGGACUACUCGUGAGACGGAGAAAAAAAAAAGAGAGAAAAUUUGGGGGCUACCAGGUAAAUCAUGACUGAAUCUUCAUCUACCACAAGUGGUCAAGAGUUUGAUGUGUUCAGUGUUAUGGACUGGAAGGAUGGCGUUGGUACCCUACCAGGAAGUGAUUUGAAGUUUAGGGUAAAUGAAUUCGGAGCUUUGGAAGUUAUCACAGACGAAAGCGAGAUGGAAAGUGUGAAGAAAGCAACAGCCACUACCACGUGGAUGGUCCCAACUGCUCAGGACGCCCCGCCCUCUCCCCUGAGCUCCAGGCCCGCAUUUCCACCUGCCUACUGGACAUCUCCACCCGGAUGUCCCACAGUCUUUUCAGAGAAGACUGGGGUACCCUUCAGGCUGAAGGAGCAGUCGAAAGUAGAUGGGCUCCAGUUUUGUGAGAACUGUUGUCAGUAUGGCAACGGAGAGGAGUGUCUUUCUGGAGGGAACUAUUGCAGCCAGAACUGUUCACGGCGUGCCAGAGACAAAGAUCAGAAGGAAGACCGAGAUGGAGGCGAGGACAAUGACGAGGAGGAUCCUAAGUGUAGUCGGAAGAAAAAACCAAAAUUAUCUCUGAAGGCUGACUCCAAGGAAGAUGAAGAGAGAGAUGAUGAAAUGGAGAACAAACAAGAUGGAAGGAUCCUGAGGGGUUCUCAGAGAGCCAGAAGGAAAAGACGUGGGGAUUCAGCCGUCUUAAAGCAGGGCUUGCCUCCUAAAGGCAAGAAAACCUGGUGCUGGGCAUCCUACCUAGAGGAGGAGAAAGCUGUGGCAGUGCCGACGAAGCUGUUCAAAGAGCACCAGUCCUUCCCAUACAACAAAAAUGGAUUCAAAGUCGGCAUGAAGCUAGAAGGUGUGGACCCUGAGCACCAGUCUGUGUACUGUGUCCUCACUGUGGCUGAGGUGAGCUCCGCCUUGCAUUUGCUUGGAGAACAAAGAUGAUGAGCAUGGGGGCUUUACGAUGAGAAAAAAAUGUCUUUGUCUGAGUGUUUACAUCGUGUGAGGCAGGAUGCUUAACUUUUUUUGUGUGUAUUCUCUCCCCAGGUGGUGCACCUGGGUUGGAAGUGGUGUCUGUGAGACUCUAUAGACUUUGCUAUACUGUAUGUUCCUGGACAAAAGGAACUGAUAUACAUGAGAUUUAUCUAUGAAAGAAAGGACUGGGGGGAAGUAUAUAUAUAUAUAUAUAUAUAUAUAUAUAUAUAUAUAUAUAUAUAGAGAGAGAGAGAGAGAGAGAGAGAGAGAGAUCUAUAUGUAUAUAUCUUACAUAUAUACACACACUUACAUAGAGCUUAUACAUCCUUAUGUAGUAUUUUGGAAUGUCUCUUUUGUGUUAAGUUUUCAAGAAAAAGUAAGUCAAGACCACACACACACACACACACACACACACACACACACACACACGCUUGCAUUAUAUUACUGAGAGCACUUGUGACUGUGUGGUGAUCCCAGGGCAUGGCGACUGUACUUACCUGGAGCACAGUGUUUGCCCAGUGCUAACUGGCUAUCCUGCAGACAGGAGCUUGGUAGGAAACAGUAGUGUCAGGUGCUCAUGGAGGUGAGCCCAUGGUGCCCUAGGCCUGGUGUUUUAAGUGAAGGAUCUACAGACAGGAUUGAGUUUGAAGAUUCAGUAAAUACAAAUUGCUUUUAAGAGAUUUAUGUGUGAAAGAAAGAGUUUGGGUGGCAGGGAUUUAAUGCCUGUAUUUACUUCUUUGUGGUACUGAAUAAGGACCCAGAGCUUCAAACCUUCCCAGCGAUCAGUCUAUUACCGAGUAACAUACCCAGCCCCAGUGCCUGUUCUUUAGAGCCUUAUUUUACUUAGUGUUGAUUUUUAAUUGUGAAAGCUAUGUCUGGUCUUUGUUAAAAUCUCCGUGCUAAGAGUACUGAUUGAUCUCUGCUCCAUCUGCCUCUUGCUGAAGUCUAGAGAGCGCCCUUACAGUUACUGCUUCUCGGUAACGUCUCUGCAUACCGAAUUAUAUAUAAGUAUUCUUCUUCUUUACACGUAAAUGGUACAUUAUGCAUAAUCUGCCUCUUGCUCCUGUGACAUACAUACAAACUUAAUGUUUUACCAUUGGGUCUUGUUGAAAGGGUUUGUGAAUGAGUACCUUAGUCAUCUGGGCUGAGGAAUGCCACAAAUAUCACACCAGCAACAGACCUCAUGCAAGAGACUCAUUGGGGCCUUUGAGAGGGGAUAGAAAACAAGACAGUGGCAGACUAGACUGUGGUGGUGCAGGCUUUCUAUUAUGGUGGCAACGGUGGAAACGUUGCAUUUGCUGUUAGUGACUUGAUGACAGGGCGUUGGCACCAAGUUAUUGAAGGCAAGGAGGAACCUGGUUCUGGAAUGUGAAUGGUUCUCAGUUGACUGACACUUGUCCCAUGGAACUACUUCUAUUCAUUUCAACUGUUGGCAUGUUGAUAGCAACUGAAUGGACUUCUAUUUCUGUAAGACAGAAGGAUGGUGAAUUUGAAGCCUGACUGCAUAGUGGGACCCUGCCUCUCCCCUCCCGCUCCCCAAUCAUCAGCUAUGUUGUUGAAGGAACAGCCUUUCUGGUCUCUGCUUGUUUCUACUUACACAGAUCUGUAAGAAACCAAGCUGGAGCUACAGAAUGAAAGGUUAUGGGCCUUUUUUUAAUGACAUUGCCACCAUGCUUGGUUCCUCCAGCCCCUCCUGUCGCUGAGGUCAUUUUAGCUUUAACUAGGUUUCCUUGAGUUUUUCAAUUCUUAAACCUCACCAAGACUGUGUGAGAUGGGGUCCUGAUACCUGAGGGUUUGGGGCUUUACUCCAAGGAACAGCCAAUCCCUCCCUCCCUCCCUUAAAGUGGAAGAAGGGGAAACAGCAGGCUUACCUGUUGGAAGACUUUUUUUUUUUUUUUUUUUUGACACCGGUGUUGAACAUAUCAAAGAAAUGGGGAUAGCUCAAUUGGCAGCCGUAGGGGGUGGCAAGACAGAAAGGAUUGGCAUGAAUAAUGAGAAAGGAAGCUAGCCAAUUCCUUAGGAAUUCUUUUGUAAUGGAGACAGCCAACAUUCCAUCAUAGUUGAAUUUGUGUAGAGUAUAGCCUCACAGACCCAUCCUUGUUUCCUGAGUGCUUGGGUUACCCGCAGGGAGUUCAUUCUUGUGACUAUUGUUUUCAAGGUUCUUAUAUCCCUUAAAUUAGUUUAUGGGAAACAAUUGCUCCUUGAGGAAAUGCAGGCUAGGUUCCUGUGAGCCUCUGGUAAUGGUACUUUGGUCGGCACACAGAACUUGUUUCUGUUUGAUGAUUCCCUGCUAAUUAUAUUAAUGUUUUGUGCUAUAAAGAAGAAGAAUUUAAUUGGCAGUCCUACCUUAAGACGUGCAAAGCCCAGGCUGCUCCCAAGUCAUUAUUUGAAAAUCAGAACAUAACAGUGAUCCCGUCAGGUUUUCGAGUUGGAAUGAAGCUCGAGGCUGCAGACAAAAAGAGUCCUUCCAUUAUCUGCGUUGCUACGGUAACAGAUAUGGUGGACAACCGUUUCCUGGUCCAUUUUGACAACUGGGACGAGAGCUAUGACUAUUGGUGCGAAUCAAACAGCCCACAUAUUCAUCCAGUCGGAUGGUGUAAAGAACACAGAAGAACACUGAUUACACCACCAGGCUAUUCGCAUGUGAAACACUUUUCCUGGGAUAAAUAUCUAGAAGAGACCAAUUCUUUACCUGCUCCUGCAAGAGCUUUCAAAGUGAAACCUCCACAUGGAUUCCAGAAAAAAAUGAAGCUUGAGGCUGUGGACAAAAGAAACCCACUGUUCAUCAGAGUAGCAACGGUAGCAGACACGGAUGAUCACCGGAUAAAAGUUCACUUUGAUGGCUGGAGCAGUUGCUAUGACUACUGGAUUGACGCAGACUCUCCGGAUAUUCACCCUGUAGGCUGGUGUUCCAAGACCGGACACCCUCUUCAGGCUCCGCUAAGCCCUGCAGAAUUAAUGGAACCGUCAGAAACUGGGGGCUGUCCAACCCUAGGCUGUAGGGGAGUUGGUCAUUUUAAAAAAUCGAGGUACCUGGGCACUCAGAGUGGUGCCAACUGUCCCUAUUCAGAAAUCAACUUGAGUAAAGACCGCAUCUUCCCCGACCGUCUAAGUGGUGAGAUAACCCCAUCCAGUUUCUCAUUCCCAAGAAGUAAAAGGACAGACACCAAUGAAAGUUCAUCAUCCCCGGAAACCAGGGACCAGCAUGCCAAUAAUGUCAAAGAAGAUUCUGAAAAGAAAAAAGAAAAUGAAGUAAAGACAUCAGCCGAAGCCAAAGCGUACAGCAGACUCAGCCACCUCAGCAGGCACUAAAGGCUCCGCAAGCUCCACAGAUCCAGCCAGCCCAGCAGGCCCCACAGGCACCGCAGGCUCAGCCAACCCAGCAGCAGGCCCAGCAGGCUCAGCAGGCCCCACAGGCACCGCAGGCCCAGCCGGCCCCACAGGCCCCGCAGACCCAUCCAACCCAGCAGCAGGCCCAACAGGCCCAGCCAACCCAGCAGCAGGCCCAGCAGGCCCAGCCAACCCAGCAGCAGCAGGCCCAGCAGCAGGCCCAGAGGCGCUCAGCUGUAUUUCUCUCCUUUAAGCCUCCAAUUCCAUGUCUGCCCCUGCGCUGGGAGCAACAGAGCAAGCUUCUUCCAACUGUUGCUGGGAUCCCGGCGAGUCGAGUUUCCAAGUGGAGCACAGACGAGGUGUCAGAAUUCAUUCAGAGUUUGCCCGGAUGUGAAGAACAUGGAAAGGUGUUUAAGGAUGAACACAAGGACAGCUCCGGCUCUGGAGUGAGGAGUCUUCGGAAUUCCCAGGGGCAGCACUACAGGGCCCAUGGGUCCCUCCAGCUGCAGACACAUUCUUAGGGAAUGCCCAAGCUUCUUACCAGCAACUGGCCAACAGCAGUCACCUUUGGUUCCGCUCACCGAGCUAAACUUAACCUUUGUAAAUUUUUUGGAUGUGGGAGGAGGGUGGGGAGAGGGAGGCUUCGUUAUUUAUGGAUGGGGCAAAAAUCAGAACUUUUGGCAUUUUGUAAACAUUGUCGGAGUCUCUUUCAUGUACACUUUCUUUUUUUUUUUUUUUUCAAUAUUUUCAGAAACCUUUUUAUAUAACGGAAUCUCAACCUAAACCAAAUCCUUUGAACCUGGCUGGGUUUAGCCUGGGACUCGUGUCAGUCAUGUUCACCCUGUGCCAUAUUUGGAAUUGCAGCAUUAGCCAAGUGUAACGUUGUGAGUCGUGAUAUUGCCUAACUGUGUCAACCUCUGUUGGGACUGAAGAAUUGUAAAUACUACCUUUCCUUGAAUCCAUGUUUUUACUUUUGCACGCAUCAUGAAUUGUUAAACAAAGUACUUUUCACCAGCAUCUUUACUGUUAUUAUUACCAAAAAGAUGUAUAUAAAAGAAUGGAACUGAAGAGUAAAAUAUAUAAACCUACUUAGAUUUGAAGGAGGUAGCGUAUCUGGACAGAAUUGGUUUGGUACGUCAUGGUGCCCAUGUUCCCAGCAGUUGGCAUUGGAGGAUUGUGCAGUUUCAUAUCCCAAGGGAUAUUGACGAGGAAUUUGAUUUGUGAAGUUACUGUGUGCAUCUAUGUACAUGACAUGGAAGUGGCUGGUGCUUUACUGAAAAGGACUCACUUGUCUGGAAACACUAAUCCUUCAAGAGCUCCCAUCCGUCCUACAUGUCCUCCAGACCCAGAGGAUUUGCUCAGAGUGAGCUGAGAAGCAGAGCAAGGGUCUCACUGCACAGACUUGGUGUGACUGUCACAUCUGCAGAUACAGAAUUCUCUUCGCUCACAGAUCGAGAAAGUGGUUCCCAAAGCCAUUCUUCGGAAACCUCCAAUGGUGAAAGAUACCUUUUCCUAAAAAAAUAUUUUGCCUUGAUUUCUAAGUAUCUGGAUGCACUUUAAAUGAAAGCCCAUGGUUAUUUAUAAACUCAUAGCUGGCAGUGUUUCUUUUGUAAGCGUGCACUUCUAAGGGGAAGGUAAGAUAUUUUGUCAGUCUUUGGAUGUAUUUUCUAAUCCCACGAUUAGACAUUUACUCAAGGACUGGUUUAAAAAUAGAAAGUUUAGUAGCAUGCUGUCGGAACUCUGGGGGAAGGUCCCACCUCUUCCCAUGAACUCUUUAAUGUUUUUCUGAUGUAGGACUUCCUUUGAUGUGCCAUAGUAGGAGUCCUUUGCAUUUGUCAUGAUUCAAGGUAAACAGGGUCCGUGACAUCUGCAAUGUCCUCUUCAUUUCUUUGCAUGAAUCUGCUAAAUGAGCUUUUUAUUGUUACUCCCCCUCCCCCUUUGUUGUGGUCAGUAUUUGUACAUUAACUUGCACUUGUUACAUGUGAUAUGAAUGAAAUAAAAUCUUAAUUGCA